rnacentral:rRNA from 1 species
ACCGCUGAGUUUAAGCAUAUCAAUAAGCGGAGGAAAAGAAACUAACAAGGAUUCCCUUAGUAACGGCGAGUGAACCGGGAAGAGCCUUGCUUGAAAAUCGGAUGUCUUUGGCGUUCGAAUUGUAGUCUGGAGAAGCGUCCUCAGCGACGGACUGGGCCCAAGUUCCCUGGAAAGGGGCGCCAGAGAGGGUGAGAGCCCCGUCGUGCCCGGACCUUGUCGCACCACGAGGCGCUGUCUAUGUGACACCCCCGAUCGUAGGUGACCGAAAAUGACACGGUCGAUGUUCCUCGAUGAUCGAUCCGAGUAUCUCAGAAUACUUCCGAUCACCUUAGACCGACAACCAAAGAACACCAACGCUCCUAUUGAAUAUCACUCCUGGCUUUUCAACCCGAAAAAGCAAUAUCCGAUAGUUAGUUCGUCCGGACAAGGACUAAUAUCAUAUGGAACCUGUACUUUAAAAACAUUAUUUAUA